rnacentral:tRNA from 1 species
GCCGUCGUAGCUCAGAGGGUAGAGCACCUAAACACCUUUUCCGUCAACUCGCCCGAGCCCGGGCCGGCAGGGGAAGGUUAUCAUCUCCAUGAGGCGGACGCGGGUUCGAGUCCCGUCGGCGGCG